GCACACGUGGGCCAGAAAGGCGUGUGCCCCCAACACUGGCACCUCCAGGGGAGCAUUGCCAGCUCUGCUGCCCCAAAUCCAUGGGAAUUGGCUGGGAUACACCGGGCUGGAGUGGAGCAGAGCAGGAGGAACCCAGGAGGAGCUGGCUGUGGUCACUGCAGUGGGAGGCCUGCCGAUGAGCUGUGCUGCUUACUGAGGCUCUGGACCUGCCAGUUGUUCCCCAUCCUAAACACACACACCUGAACUUUGCUGUUACCUUGUGCCCACCAAUGAUGGGGAAAUAAAUGUCACAUCAGAGUCCUGCA
rnacentral:lncRNA from 1 species